AGAGCGAACGCUGGCGGCAGGCCUAACACAUGCAAGUCGAGCGCCCCGCAAGGGGAGCGGCAGACGGGAGAGUAACACGUGGGAACGUACCCUUCAGUUCGGAACAACCCAGGGAAACUUGGGCUAAUACCGAAUACGUCCGUAAGGAGAAAGAUUUAUCGCUGAAGGAUCGGCCCGCGUCUGAUUAGCUUGUUGGUGAGGUAAUGGCUCACCAAGGCUACGAUCAGUAGCUGGUCUGAGAGGAUGAUCAGCCACACUGGGACUGAGACACGGCCCAGACUCCUACGGGAGGCAGCAGUGGGAAUAUUGGACAAUGGGCGCAAGCCUGAUCCAGCCAUGCCGCGUGGGUGAUGAAGGCCCUAGGGGUUGUAAAGCCCUUUCGGCGGGGAAGAUAAUGACGGUACCCGCAGAAGAAGCCCCGGCUAACUUCGUGCCAGCAGCCGC
rnacentral:rRNA from 1 species